AGGACACUGAGACAUGCAAACUAUGGAGAGAACCCGGAUCGAACCGCACUGUAAAACAUCACAGCCCUGUUUAGUUCCACUCACUUCUUCUCUUUACCUCAAAGAGCUCUGACAAGAUGUUUUCAACUUGAAACUUAGUUAAACUUACAGUAAUGCUUUGUGUUGACUUAUUCUAUUAUUAAUAAAAGCUCACAAAAUGUCGUUAUUUCAAUAAAAAUUCAGCAUGGACCUUUUUGUUUGUGGGGCCCGACAGAAAAACCCGAGAAGCAUCCGGCCUCCAGUCGAAUGCGUCGUAAAGGAGAGGACCACAAAGGAGGCGCGUACCUUCUUGUUCUCCUCUCUGUAGGCCGCCGUGGCUUUACGUACAUGGAGAAGCAGCCUUUUUCAGCUCCACGUAUCUGGAACAAAGUCUCAGAAAGCUGCAGGUCUGCUGGGUCCCUCAGCUCCAUUAAAUCCAAAUCAAAGACUUUUCUUUUUGCUGCUGCCUUAAAUUUCUGAUCUGAGACCUCUGGUGGUUGGUGGUGAACCGCCGGCGUCUCCAGAGCGACGGUGCGUUUAGGGACCAAAUGCGGAUGCAGAGGGUUCAGUCUAUGAAUACUCCAGAGGAGAGCAGAUUUAUGGGAGUAUUUUUUACCUCCAGUGAACCCAAUCGUCCUUAUUACGCAACGGGAGAGUCAGCCGACGCACCAAGUGUUCAUGAAUCUGCUCACCUGACAGCUCGUCCACAGCCGGGAAGAGUCUGUGAUGGGGGGAAAGGUCACGGGGGAACAUACAAGGGGGUGGAAGCUGUGCAGAGGGCGGCUGUGGCAAGAUUGAGAUGGACUGAACCACAGCACAUGUAUGAGAUGCUAGUAACUUUAAAACAGACCCCCAAAAAUAAGGGGGGGGGGGGGGGGGUUCCUACAAAUUCUCAUUUUUAAGUUCACCAUGUUUCUUCUGUUUGCUGCUGUAGGAGCCAUUUACGUUUAUUGUUGGCAUGAUAUUUUAUUUAGUUUGGAUGUAUUUAUAAUAGUAUUUUGGACACUAGGUGGCAGUGAUUAGAUGCACGUGGUUGGAUAUGAGGGGCACAGGUGACAGGAAGUGGGGAACACAGGUUCAUCGGUUUAUACUAUUUAAUGCAAUAAAAUCACAAACUUCAA